rnacentral:rRNA from 1 species
ACGGGGAAGCUUGCUUCCGCCGACGACCGGCGCACGGGUGCGUAACGCGUAUACAAUCUACCUUAUACUGGGGUAUAGCCUUUAGAAAUGAAGAUUAACCCCCCAUAGUCUCUUAGAGUGGCAUCACUUCUAGAGUAAAGGUUACGGUAUAAGAUGAGUAUGCGUUCUAUUAGUUUGUUGGUGUGGUAACGGCACACCAAGACUACGAUAGAUAGGGGCCCUGAGAGGGGGAUCCCCCACACUGGUACUGAGACACGGACCAGACUCCUACGGGAGGCAGCAGUGAGGAAUAUUGGACAAUGGAGGAGACUCUGAUCCAGCCAUGCCGCGUGUAGGAAGAAUGCCCUAUGGGUUGUAAACUACUUUUAUACAGGAAGAAACACUGGUAUGUAUACCAGCUUGACGGUACUGUAAGAAUAAGGACCGGC